AUAGCGUAUAUUAAAGUUGUUGCAGUUAAAAAGCUCGUAGUUGGAUCUCAGGCGCAGGCGGGCGGUCCGGCUCGCGCCGGUUCACUGCCCGUUGUCUCCUGCCCUACCGUCUGCCGGCUCUCUCCCGCGGGUGCUCUUCACUGAGCGUCCCGGGUGGCCGGCGCGUUUACUUUGAAAAAAUUAGAGUGUUCAAAGCAGGCCUCGGCUGCCUGAAUAAUGGUGCAUGGAAUAAUGGAAUAGGACCUCGGUUCUAUUUUGUUGGUUUUCGGAACUGGAGGUAAUGAUUAACAGGGACAAACGGGGGCAUUCGUAUUGCGGCGUUAGAGGUGAAAUUCUUGGAUCGCCGCAAGACGAGCUACUG
rnacentral:rRNA from 1 species